rnacentral:rRNA from 1 species
CCUACGGGGGGCAGCAGUGAGGAAUAUUGGUCAAUGGACGGAAGUCUGAACCAGCCAUGCCGCGUGCAGGAAGACGGCUCUAUGAGUUGUACACUGCUUUUGUACAAGGGUAAACCUGAAGACGUGUAUUCAGAUGAAAGUACUGUACGAAUAAGGAUCGGCUAACUCCGUGCCAGCAGCCGCGGUAAUACGGAGGAUCCAAGCGUUAUCCGGAUGUUGUGGGUUUAAAGGGUGCGUAGGCGGUGGGUUAAGGCAGUGGUCAAAUUGAGGGGCUCAACCCCUUCCCGCCAUUGAAACUGGCGUUCUUGAGUGGGAGAGAAGUAUGCGGAAUGCGUGGUGUAGCGGUGAAAUGCAUAGAUAUCACGCAGAACCCCGAUUGCGAAGGCAGCAUGCCGGCUUCCUACUGACGCUGAAGCACGAAAGCGUGGGGAUCGAACAGGAUUAGAUACCCUUGUAGUC